rnacentral:tRNA from 1 species
CUAAGGAUGAUCCUUCAGCGAGCUUCGGCUCACUAUCGGAUCGUUUUAGAAACAUCAGUGGCCAACAAUCGUCAGGAUUGUUGAGCUGCAUUGGCGGGAUUUCGCCGUCUUCGUUUCUCUUUCUUCGCGGACGAACACGCGCUGGGGCUGCAAGUUUGCAGAGUCCCUGGUCCUUGACUGGAUAUGCGUUAGGGGCUUGUAGCUCAGUUGGUUAGAGCGCGCGCUUGAUAAGCGUGAGGUCGGAAGUUCAAGUCUUCCCAGGCCCACCACUUUCAUCGAGUGAGCAUUCGUCUUCUGGUUACGGGGCCAUAGCUCAGCUGGGAGAGCGCGUGCUUUGCAAGCAUGAGGUCGUCGGUUCGAUCCCGUCUGGCUCCACCAGAUGGUUUGAUCAUCGACUGAUCGUGCACCUAAAUCGUCCGCGAAACAUCACUUCGCAUCUUGCUAGUCUGGAUAGACAGCAAGUUGCGUGAUUUCUGACAUCGUAAAGAGGAGAUCGAUCCGAGUUGGAUCGUGCAGCAAGCAAUUGCUACGCGAGACUUCAUUAUCUCCGGAUCAUUUCGGCGCUCGUGCGUCUUUCAAGGGCAGCUCACAAGGCUGCUUCUGGAGAGACAAGCCAGUUGUAAAUGAUCCUUUUAGCGAAGCUUGACCGCCUCGCUAUCGGAACGAUCUUACGAAGCAAGCUGGUCUUUCUAAUCAUUGUCCGGCUGCAGAUAGCGUUCAUCGAGGGCGCGUGCCGCAAGGCAGUUCUGCAGACAACAUUCUGCCGAGUGUGUGGACAUUGAUAAUGAGAGC